ACACACCUACUCAUUCCAGGGUUUUUCUUUAUUUUCACUAUUUUCUACAUUGUAAAAUAAUAGUGAAGACAUCAAAACAUUAUAUUUAAGAUUCUUUAAAGUAACCACCCUUUUCCAUGAUGACACUCUAGGCAUUCUCUCAACCAGCUUCAUGAGGUGGUCACCUGGAAUACAUUUCAAUUCAUUUUCACCCAGCAAAUUAAUACAUGAAACUGUAUUGGGGCGGCAGGUAGCAUAGUGGUUAGAGUGUUAGGCCAGUAACCGAAAGGUUGCUAGAUCGAAUCCCUGAGCAGACAAGGUAAAAAUCUGUUGUUCUGCAGUUAACACACUGUUCCUAGGCUGUCAUUGUAAAUAUGAAUUUGUUGAUAAAUUACUUACCUAGUUAAAUAAAAGUAUUUUACAUACAACAUUAGAAUGUUCUUAAACGUGUGAAGUAUUCUUCUUCAUUUUGCCAACUAACAGUCACCCCCAGUGAAGAGAUCAAAACUUUAUGUUAAAGAUUCUUCAAAGUAGCCAUCCUUUAGCUUGAUGACAUCUUUGCACACUCUUGCACUCUCUUGGCAUUUAAAAAUGUUAAAAGUGAAUUUCCUUCUUAAUGCAUUUGAGCCAGUCAGUUGUGUUUUGGCAAGGUCGGGGUGGUAUACAGAAGAUAGCCCUAUUUGGUAAAGUCCAUAUGGCAAGAACAGCUCCAAUAAGCAAAGAGAAACAACAGUCCAUGAUUACUUUAAGACAUGAAGGUCAAUCCAUCCGGAUAAUUUCAAGAACUUUGAAAGUUUCUUCAAGUGCAGUCGCAAAAACCAUCAAGCGCUCUGAUGAAACUGUCUCUCAUGAGGACCGCCACAGGACAGGAAGACCCAGAGUUACCUCUGCUGCAGAGGAUAAGUUCAUUAGAGUUAAAUGCACCUCAGAUUGCAGCCCAAAUAAAUGCUUCAAAGAGCUCAAGUAACAGACACAUCUCAACAUAAACUGUUAAGAAUUGCAGAAAAAAACACUACUAAAGGACACCAAUAAUAAGAAGAGACUUGAUUGGGCCAAGAAACACGAGCAAUGGACAUUAGACCUGUCACGUUCUGACCUUAGUUCCUUUGUUUUGUUUUAGUUUUAGUAUGGUCACGGCGUAAGUUGGGUGGGUUGUCUAUGUUCCCUUUUCUAUGAUUUGGGAUUUCUGUGUUUGGCCUGGUAUGGUUCUCAAUCAGAGGCAGCUGUCAUUCGUUGUCCCUGAUUGAGAACCAUACUUAGGUAGCCUGGUUCACUUUGAGUUGUGGGUGAUUAUUUUCCGUGUCAGUGUUUGUUCCCACACGGGACUGUUUCGUUUUUGUUAUUUCACAUUGUUGUUUAUUGUUUUGUUCAGUGUUCAUUAUUCUUAUUAAACUAUAUGGACACUUUCCACGCUGCGCAUUGGUCCUCCGAUCCUUCCUACUACUCCUCCUCGUCAGAGGACCACCGUUACAAGACUGUUGAAAAUCUGCAUGGAGGAGGAGGUGUGAUGGUGUGUGGGUACUUUGCUGGUGACACUGACAGUGAUUUAUUUAGAAUUCAAGGAACACUUAACCAACAUGGCUACCACAGCAUUCUGCAGCGAUACACCAUCCCAUCUGGUUUGCGCUUAGUGGGACUAUCAUUUGUUUUUCAACAGAACAAUGACCUAAAACAAACCUCCAGGUUGUGUAAAGGCUAUUUGACCAAGGAGAGUGAUGGAGUGCUGCAUCAGAUGACCUGGCCUCCACAAUCCCCCGACCUCAACCCAAUUGAGAUGGUUUGGGAUGAGUUGGAUCACAGAGUGAAGGAAAAGCAGCCAACAAGUGCUCAGCAUUCCUCAUGAAGCUGUUUGAGAGAAUGCCAAGAGUGUGUAAAGCUGUCAUCAAGCAAAAGGUGGCUACUUUUAAGAAUCUAAAAUCUAAAAUAUAUUUUGUUUUGUUUAACACUUUUUUGGUUACUACAUGAUUCCAUAUGUGUUGUUUCAUAGUUUUGAUGUAUUCCCUAUUAUUCUGCAAUGUAGAAAAUAGUACAAAUAAAGAGACUCUUGAACGAGUUGGUUGCAUCCAAACUUUUGGCUGGUGGUGUAUGUGUGCAUGUGCAUGUGCUCUCUAUGCCUUCUGAUUCUUGUCUCAGCAUAAUUUAAUAUUACAGAGAAACGAUGCCUGUCAGUAUUAUGAUUGCAAAUGUGUCUCAGCAUGAAACAAGCCAAUUCUCCCCAAGAGAUUUUUUUAAAUCACAUGUACAUUGAUAUGCCAUUGCGACCUUGUGGACAAAGAGAAAAUGCAUGGUGAGAAGAGGGUGUGAUGAUACGGUGUACGUAUAAAUCUACUAUAGUUUAUUUAGUGAGCUUGGACUGCGUGGCUCGAUAGUGCCACUGUGUGGACUUCAACUAUUUCUGCAGCUACAACUAUUCAGGCUGCUUUAACGCUGAGUAAGACAAUAACUUGUUACUUGUUCACAACGGUCAUGAAAGCACAAAAUAGGCCCUGCACAGAUGAUUAGAUCUAUCAUUAAACAAUGAGACCAGACGGGGUGGGGUGUGUGUCCAAUUAGCCUCGUCGAGAAACAGUCUUCCCGUGACAAUGACGCGAUUUUGGAGGUACGGCAACGGAAGUCUAAUGGCCAAUAUAAACUAGGUGGCUUGAGCCCUGAAUGCUUAUUGGCUGACAGCUGUGCUAUACCACGUGUAUGACGAAACAUUUAUUUUUACUGCUCUAAUUACACUGGUAACCAGUUUCUUAUAGCAACAAGGCACCUCUAGGGGUUGUGUUAUAUGGCCAAUAUACCACGGCUAAGGGUGUGUCCAGGCACUCCACAUUGCGUUGUGCAUAAGAACAACCUUUAGCCAUGGUAUAUUGGCCAUAUACCACAUCCCCUCGUGCCUUAUUUCUUAAAUAUACCACGGCUCUGGGCUGUUAGUAGGCACAAUGUGAAGCAGAGUGAGAGAGAGUGGAAUUUUCUCAGUCUGGUCCUUAAUAAAUGAGUGCUACAAAUCAUCAAACACAUGUACCUGUGCUAGGUAGAGCAGGAGAGGUGUCAAACGGCCAGUUCCAGGGAUUGACAGCUGAGGGAGGGAUCUAGAACAGGAAUGUUGCUUCAUCAUGUAUCACAUGACAUCAUCCAAUCACAAAGCAUCAGCAACAGGGCCUGACAGGAAGAGCUAAUAAACACACUUACACAUGCUAUGAAGUUCUGUGUCGUGGUGAAUGUGUAUUCAAGGGCUGUUGAGAAUAUUGUCUCUAAAUUCUGGGAUAGGUGUGCACCAGUGGAGGCUGCUAAGGGGAGAACGGCUCAUAAUAAUGGCUGGAACGAACCAAAUGUAAUGGCAUCAAACAAAUGGAAACCAUAUAUUUGAUACCAUUACACCUAUUCCACUCCUGACAUUACCAAGAGCCUGUUCUCCUCAAUUAAGGUGCCACCAACCUCCUGUGGUGUGCACAGCUAACAUAUUACCGUAUUCUAGUCUGCAUCUGGUGACCACUAAGAUAUUACUGUAUUCUAGGCAAUCAGAUGACAGCUAACAUAUUACUGUAUUUUAGUCUGAAUCAGGUGUGUGGAGGAAGAGACAGGUCGGUGGGGAGCUGGGACCGUGUGUUUGAGAAUGAAUGUGUGGAGGAAGAGACAGGUCGGUGGGGAGCUGGGACCGUGUGUUUGAGAAUGAAUGUGUGGAGGAAGAGACAGGUCGGUGGGGAGCUGGGACCGUGUGUUUGAGAAUGAAUGUGUGGAGGAAGAGACAGGUCGGUGGGGAGCUGGGACCGUGUGUUUGAGAAUGAAUGUGUGGAGGAAGAGACAGGUCGGUGGGGAGCUGGGACCGUGUGUUUGAGAAUGAAUGUGUGGAGGAAGAGACAGGUCGGUGGGGAGCUGGGACCGUGUGUUUGUGAAUGAAUGUGUGGAGGAAGAGACAGGUCGGUGGGGAGCUGGGACCGUGUGUUUGAGAAUGAAUGUGUGGAGGAAGAGACAGGUCGGUGGGGAGCUGGGACCGUGUGUUUGAGAAUGAAUGUGUGGAGGAAGAGACAGGUCGGUGGGGAGCUGGGACCGUGUGUUUGAGAAUGAAUGUGUGGAGGAAGAGACAGGUCGGUGGGGAGCUGGGACCGUGUGUUUGAGAAUGAAUGUGUGGAGGAAGAGACAGGUCGGUGGGGAGCUGGGACCGUGUGUUUGAGAAUGAAUGUGUGGAGGAAGAGACAGGUCGGUGGGGAGCUGGGACCGUGUGUUUGAGAAUGAAUGUGUGGAGGAAGAGACAGGUCGGUGGGGAGCUGGGACCGUGUGUUUGAGAAUGAAUGUGUGGAGGAAGAGGCAGGUCGGUGGGGAGCUGGGACCGUGUGUUUGAGAAUGAAUGUGUGGAGGAAGAGGCAGGUCGGUGGGGAGCUGGGACCGUGUGUUUGAGAAUGAAUGUGUGGAGGAAGAGGCAGGUCGGUGGGGAGCUGGGACCGUGUGUUUGAGAAUGAAUGUGUGGAGGAAGAGGCAGGUCGGUGGGGAGCUGGGACCGUGUGUUUGUGAAUGAAUGUGUGGAGGAAGAGGCAGGUCGGUGGGGAGCUGGGACCGUGUGUUUGAGAAUGAAUGUGUGGAGGAAGAGGCAGGUCGGUGGGGAGCUGGGACCGUGUGUUUGAGAAUGAAUGUGUGGAGGAAGAGACAGGUCGGUGGGGAGCUGGGACCGUGUGUUUGAGAAUGAAUGUGUGGAGGAAGAGGCAGGUCGAUGGGGAGCUGGGACCGUGUGUUUGAGAAUGAAUGUGUGGAGGAAGAGACAGGUCGGUGGGGAGCUUAGAACUGUGUGUGAGUGUCAGCUUUUUGAAUUGAAUUCACUUGUUGUCGCCCUGAAUAAGAACAUCUGCUAAAUAAUUAAAUGUAAUGCUGAGUUUUAUCUCAUACAAAGUCUGAAAGUGUAAUAUCACAUGCAAACGGGUACUACUAAAUAAAUAGAAAACUACAUUUGCAUGAAAUUCCUUUCUAUCCAUAUUGAAGGAGUGUAGCAGUCAAUCUACUGUCAGACCAGAGAUCUAACCAUGUAUUAAAUUAAUAACCUACCCACAGGUCUCAUCACCUACCGACAGGUCUCACCCCCUACCUACAGGUCUCACAACCUACCCACAGGUCUCACAACCUACCCACAGGUCUCACGAUCUACCCACAGGUCUCACAACCUAUCCACAUGUCUCAUAACCUACCCACGGGUCUCACCAUCUAUUGACAGAUCUCACAACCUACCCACAGGUCUCACAACCUACCCACAGGUCUCACAACCUACCCACAGGUCUCACAACCUACCCACAGGUCUCACAUCUACCCACAGGUCUCACAACCUACCAACAGGUCUCACAUCUACCCACAGGUCUCACCCCUGCCAACAGGUCUCACAACCUACCAACAGGUCUCACAACCUACCAUCAGGUCUCACAUCUACCCAUAGGUCUCAACACCUACCCACAGGUCUCACAACCUACCCACAGGUCUCACAACCUACCCACAGGUCUCACAUCUACCCACAGGUCUCACAACCUACCCACAGGUCUCACAUCUAUCCACAGGACUCACCCACUACCCACAGGUCACAUACCCUACCCACCAGUCUCACACCCUACCUACAGGUCUCACCCCCCU